rnacentral:lncRNA from 1 species
AGCGCCACAGAGACCCUGCGGGGCCAACGCAGAGCGGCACGUGGCCCCCAGCCCCCUUAACCCCGGGGCCCCCCCCGGAACACCCACCUGUAGAAGCUGAGGCGGCGCUCGGAGCCCCGGGGUGUCCCGCCCCACUUCCGCCUCCUCCUCAGUCGCGGGGCUGAUGACGUCACUCAGCGGGGACAGCGCGGCGCCACAGCGACGGAGCGGCGCACGCGCUGAGGCGCUGUCGCCAUGGGGAUGCCAUCACGCAUGCGCUGUCGUCACGAGGAUGGCUUCACGCGCUGCAAUGAGGGAGGGCGCACCGUCGCCACGGCAUCAGAUGGAAAACGGCGCUUGGAGACUGCAGCUGCGGGGCAGCAGCUCAGCACAGUGCUGCCGAUGACUGGAGCCGAACGAGGAGCGAAGGCGCUGGCCGGACUCCGUGCCAGGCUCGAACGCGCCUCGAUCCGCGCGAUCGCUCCCUCUCUUCCGGGGCUGCUCGGCUCAGCCAGGAGCCGCUCCCGGACACCGGGCGGGUUCCGCCUCUCGCGGUCAGCCGCCGCUUCUCGCAGCCGGGCAGCGCCUCGCCGCAACGACGGAGGACGGCUCGGUUCCCCCUCCGAGGGCAGCCGGAUUCUGACGGGGGACGGACGGGAUGGUGCCCCCGCGCCGCCUUCCCCUGACCGCCCGGCGUCCCUGAGGCACGGGGAGGGCGGCGGCGGGGACGCGGGGCGGCGGACCGCCGCUUUCCCCGCGCGGAGCCCCGCGGCUCCUCCAUCCCGCCGUCGCCAUCGGCAUCUCCAUGGCGGCGGCCCCGCGUCCGCAGCCGCCAUUGGCGGAGAGCCCGCGCUCGGCCCCGCCUCCUCCGCUCUGCCAUUGGUCGGUGCGCCGAACGGGGCGGGCGCUCCGCGCGGGGUCCUUUCUGUCCACGGGCGCGCCGUCAUUGCGACAUCACCGCGCGCGUCCCCGUGGCCCCGGCCCCGCUGCCCUCACGAUGCCUGCCGUCGUGCGCCCGUUCCGCUUCCGGGCCCCGGCUGCGGCUGCGGGAGGAGAAGGGCGGGGAUGUGGGGGACCUCAGCGGGGCCGGGCCCGCCCCGCCCCGCCCCGCCCCGCUCCGUGCGGGCCUUCCGGGAGAGCGGCGAGCGCGGGCUGGCGGCCGCCGGCAGGUGGGGGAGCGGGGCGUCCGGGUGGGCGGCGCGGCCCAGCGGUGGCGUGGGGAACCCGCUGGAGACGAGCGGCUCCAGGGCACCUUGACGUUCCGCUCCAGGCGGUCGCGGUGCCGGCCCGAGGCCGGCGCUGUGCGGGGCGGGGCUGAGCGCGGGGCGAUCGCCUCCUGCUCCUGCUGCCUUCGCUGCUGCCGGUAAAGCGGGCUUCUCGGCCGCCUGCACAAGGCGCGCUGCUGGCUCACGUUCAGCCGAGCGUC